GAUCCUGGCUCAGGAUGAACGCUGGCGGCGUGCUUAACACAUGCAAGUCGAACGAAGCGCUUGAGAUUGAUUCUUCGGAAGAUUUCUCUUGUGACUUAGUGGCGGACGGGUGAGUAACGCGUGGGUAACCUGCCUCACACAGGGGGAUAACAGUUGGAAACGACCGCUAAUACCGCAUAACCCGUUAGGGCCGCAUGGCCCGGACGGAAAAGAUUUAUCGGUGUGAGAUGGACCCGCGUUGGAUUAGCUAGUUGG
rnacentral:rRNA from 1 species